rnacentral:rRNA from 1 species
AGUGAACGCUGGCGGUAGGCCUAACACAUGCAAGUCGAACGGCAGCACAGUAAGAGCUUGCUCUUACGGGUGGCGAGUGGCGGACGGGUGAGGAAUACAUCGGAAUCUACUUUUUCGUGGGGGAUAACGUAGGGAAACUUACGCUAAUACCGCAUACGACCUACGGGUGAAAGCAGGGGAUCUUCGGACCUUGCGCGAUUGAAUGAGCCGAUGUCGGAUUAGCUAGUUGGCGGGGUAAAGGCCCACCAAGGCGACGAUCCGUAGCUGGUCUGAGGGGAUGAUCAGCCACACUGGAACUGAGACACGGUCCAGACUCCUACGGGAGGCAGCAGUGGGGAAUAUUGGACAAUGGGCGCAAGCCUGAUCCAGCCAUACCGCGUGGGUGAAGAAGGCCUUCGGGUUGUAAAGCCCUUUUGUUGGGAAAGAAAAGCAGCAGGUUAAUACCCCGCUGUUCUGACGGUACCCAGAGAAUAAGCACCGGCUAACUUCGU